rnacentral:rRNA from 1 species
UACGUAGGCAGCGAGCGUUGUUCGGAGUUACUGGGCGUAAAGGGUGUGUAGGCGGUUCUUUUAAGUUUGGCGUGAAAUCUCCCGGCUCAACCGGGAGGGUGCGUCGAAUACUGAGGGACUAGAGUACGGGAGAGGAAAGUGGAAUUCCUGGUGUAGCGGUGAAAUGCGUAGAUAUCAGGAGGAACACCGGUGGUGUAGACGGCUUUCUGGACCGUAGCUGACGCUGAGACACGAAAGCGUGGGUAGCAAACAGG